rnacentral:rRNA from 1 species
GACGAACGCUGGCGGCGUGCUUAACACAUGCAAGUCGAACGGAAAGGCCUCUUUCGGGGGGUACUCGAGUGGCGAACGGGUGAGUAACACGUGAGUAACCUGCCCUUGACUUUGGGAUAACUUCAGGAAACUGGGGCUAAUACCGGAUAGGAGCUCCUGCUGCAUGGUGGGGGUUGGAAAGUUUCGGCGGUUGGGGGUGGACUCGCGGCUUAUCAGCUUGUUGGUGGGGUAGUGGCUUACCAAGGCUUUGACGGGUAGCCGGCCUGUGAGGGUGACCGGCCACAUUGGGACUGAGAUACGGCCCAGACUCCUACGGGAGGCAGCAGUGGGGAAUAUUGCACAAUGGGUGGAGGCCUGAUGCAGCAACGCCGUGUGCGGGAUGACGGCCUUCGGGUUGUAAACCGCUUUCGCUCAUGACGAAGCUUUGUGUGACGGUAGUGGGUAAAGAAGCACCGGCUAACUACGUG